ACUCAAAUGAAUUGACGGGGACCCGCACAAGCGGUGGAGCGUGUUGUUUAAUUCGAGGCUAAGCGAAGAACCUUACCAGGGUUUGACAUCCUUGGAAUUUCUGUGAAAGCAGAGAGUGCCUUCGGGAACCAAGUGACAGGUGUUGCAUGGCCGUCGUCAGCUCGUGUCGUGAGAUGUUUGGUUAAGUCCAUCAACGAGCGCAACCCUUAUGAAUAGUUGGAUUUUUCUAUUCAGACUGCCCCGGUAACGGGGAGGAAGGGGGGGAUGAUGUCAGGUCUGUAUUACCCUUACAUCCUGGGCUACAAACGCGCUACAAUGGCCGGUACAAAGGGCUGCUAAGUCGCGAGACGGAGCAAAUCCCAUCAAAGCCGGUCCCAGUUCGGAUUGCAGGCUGAAACUCGCCUGCAUGAAGCCGGAAUCGCUAGUAAUCGCAGGUCAGCACACUGCGGUGAAUACGUUCCCGGGUCUUGUACACACCGCCCGU
rnacentral:rRNA from 1 species